rnacentral:rRNA from 1 species
UACGGAGGGCGCAAGCGUUAUCCGGAUUCACUGGGCUUAAAGGGUGCGUAGGCGGGCAAGUAAGUCAGUGGUGAAAUCUCCGGGCUUAACCCGGAAACUGCCAUUGAUACUAUUUGUCUUGAAUACUGUGGAGGUCAGCGGAAUAUGUCAUGUAGCGGUGAAAUGCUUAGAUAUGACAUAGAACACCAAUUGCGAAGGCAGCUGGCUACACAAAUAUUGACACUGAGGCACGAAAGCGUGGGGAUCAAACAGG